GGCGGGCCUCCCCGCAUUGCAGCGCAGGAACCUGGUCAGGUCCGGAAGGAAGCAGCCAUAACUGCUCACUGCAAGUGCCGGGGUCAAGGCUCGCCACU
rnacentral:SRP_RNA from 1 species